rnacentral:miRNA from 1 species
AGGAAGUGUCAGAAAAGUUACCACAAGGAUAACUGGCUUGUGGCAGCCAAGCAUUCAUAGAGACAUCUCUUUUUGAUCCUUCGA